AUCUACCGCAAUGGACGAAAGUCUGACGGAGCAACGCCGCGUGAGUGAUGAAGGUUUUCGGAUCGACAAACUCUGUUGUUAGGGCAAAAUAAGUAUCGGAGUAACUGCCGGUACCUUGACGGUACCUAACCCGAAAGCCACGGCUAACUACGUGCCAGCAGCCGCGGUAAUACGUAGGUGGCAAGCGUUGUCCGGAAUUAUUGGGCGUAAAGCGCGCGCAGGCGGUUUCUUAAGUCUGAUGUGAAAGCCCCCGGCUCAACCGGGGAGGGUCAUUGGAAACUGGGGAACUUGAGUGCAGAAGAGAAGAGCGGAAUUCCACGUGUAGCGGUGAAAUGCGUAGAGAUGUGGAGGAACACCAGUGGCGAAGGCGGCUCUUUGGUCUGUAACUGACGCUGAGGCGCGAAAGCGUGGGGAGCAAAC
rnacentral:rRNA from 1 species